UACAGAGGGUGCGAGCGUUAAUCGGAAUUACUGGGCGUAAAGCGCACGUAGGUGGCGACGUAAGUCGGAUGUGAAAGCCCCGGGCUCAACCUGGGAACUGCAUUCAAAACUGACGAGCUAGAGUAUGGUAGAGGGUGGUGGAAUUUCCUGUGUAGCGGUGAAAUGCGUAGAUAUAGGAAGGAACACCAGUGGCGAAGGCGACCACCUGGACUGAUACUGACACUGAGGUGCGAAAGCGUGGGGAGCAAACAGG
rnacentral:rRNA from 1 species